rnacentral:rRNA from 1 species
GACAGAGGAUGCAAGCGUUAUCCGGAAUGAUUGGGCGUAAAGCGUCUGUAGGUGGCUUUUUAAGUCCGCCGUCAAAUCCCAGGGCUCAACCCUGGACAGGCGGUGGAAACUACCAAGCUGGAGUACGGUAGGGGCAGAGGGAAUUUCCGGUGGAGCGGUGAAAUGCGUAGAGAUUGGAAAGAACACCGAUGGCGAAGGCACUUUACUGGGCUAUUACUAACACUCAGAGACG